GACGGGAGAGGGUCAAACCACUGCCCUAGAGCCCCCCCCCCCGCUCCGUAACUAGGGGAACAAUUGACGGCCGGACCGCACCCCCCCACCAGUGGGCAACUCAUCUCUCUCACAGCAGACACCAUGCGGAACCGGGACCAGCCCGUGUCCUAGCGGCUCCUCCCGCGGAGUCCCCAGCGCAGCCUCCAGGCCCGCCCGGCGCACCGCCUCUAUCACCAUGGAGACGAGCAGCAGCAGGACCCCAGCCCGUAUCUCUGAGCGAUGCGGUCCUGCAGCGGCCUCUAGCGCCUGGGAGGGGAAUGGGGGAGAAGGAAAUAUAGCCCAGGCUCAUCACGUCCCCUUUGCUUCCUCAGUGCAUGCCAGCUCCCGCAUGGCUAUUUGGUAUUGUGAAUGAUAAGGCCCAGCAGCCACGGGGCGAAGGACAUGAUCUUAAACACCCACGUCCUGCUCUCAGUAACCUCAAACAAUCCCAUGGCACAUUCUCUGGGAGCACCACUCAGAGCAUGUCCCCACUCCAGCAGCAGGUACAGAGAGACAAGAUCAAUCAGCCAAUGGCAGAGGUGGGAAGAGAGCACGUGUGACUAAGAUGCUCUAGGGACUUUGGGGAUGAAAACUGCUAUACUAAUAUAAUUUCAGACUUUCCCAACCCUAUAAGUUCUAUGUGGUUCCAGAUAUCUGCCUCAAACCUCACAUGUAUUAGGCUCUGAUCCUGCACUGAGAACUGCACAGCAGGUGGACCCUGACAACUGAGUGGAAUCCCAGGAAAGACAAUGGGUCUCUGUGCAGACACAGGGUCUACCUACAUAGUUUCUCAAAAAGACCUUACUUUAUAGUGGGCCUUUCAAAAUACUAUACCCGGUAGAGAUCUUGCUUAACCCUCAAGUACGACAAUUGGAGCAGUGCUGAAGAGGUCAUCAUCCUGCAAUAAGCUAAUUAAGGUGGACAAAAGGUGGAUCAGCCUGGCAAACUUGCUGUACAUGGAAGGUUUCAAGUGGAGUCCAUUUUAAAUGUUUGUUUAAAGGUAUCACUGACUUGUAAUGUAAGAAAUCUUCAUAUAAUAUUGUUUAAUUCUACAAUAAAAGUUGAUGUGAAUGUAUUAUCUAA